rnacentral:rRNA from 1 species
CCUACGGGGGGCAGCAGUGAGGAAUAUUGGUCAAUGGACGAGAGUCUGAACCAGCCACGUAGCGUGAAGGAUGACUGCCCUAUGGGUUGUAAACUUCUUUUAUAUGGGAAUAAAAUGUUCCACGUGUGGGAUUUUGUAUGUACCAUAUGAAUAAGGAUCGGCUAACUCCGUGCCAGCAGCCGCGGUAAUACGGAGGAUCCGAGCGUUAUCCGGAUUUAUUGGGUUUAAAGGGAGCGUAGGUGGAUUGUUAAGUCAGUUGUGAAAGUUUGCGGCUCAACCGUAAAAUUGCAGUUGAAACUGGCAGUCUUGAGUACAGUAGAGGUGGGCGGAAUGCGUGGUGUAGCGGUGAAAUGCUUAGAUAUCACGAAGAACUCCGAUUGCGAAGGCAGUUCACUGGACUGCAACUGACACUGAGGCUCGAAAGUGUGGGUAUCAAACAGGAUUAGAUACCCUUGUAGUC